UGCCGUCUCAAGUUCUGGAGCCGAGCUGCUGCUCUGGGCUGGGGUGUGGAGGACCGCGGAUGCAGUUACAGCCGGGUAACCGGGCUGGAAACACCAGAGACGGACGUUUUCUGCGAUGCAGUGCCACUGGUGUCCAGAGGUUUAAAUCACCCCUGACUCUUCUAGACAGGAGACUAUAGAGAACUCAGGCUGUUUAAAAAGACUUGAAAUCUUAUUUGGAUAAUCUCGAUUGUUUCACGGAUUUCCAAACUUGUAAGUGCAAUGAAUCUGCAGUUCUAUUUGGAAAGAUAACCAUUUUAAGUUGAAUGAGAAUGACAUCACAGUCAUACCUGUGAAAUCUAAAAUGUCUAACAAAGUGGAUUCCUAUGUCUGAACUUCAGUUUUAAGGCACAGCUGUGGAUGCAGGACUGAUGCCAUCUGGUGUGAUUGCACAGAAUAAGAGAGAAAAUUUACCCAGAGUGUGCCGUGCACUGGCUUUUCUGGGAAUGGACAAGGUGCCAGGAUUUGUUUUUGGUUCACUUGCAGGGGUGGAAACUUGGAACUAGGUUCCAAGGUGGUUGUUACAGCUCCCCUCAAGAAGAUGGAAGAAACCCAAAGGGAAAACAGAGCACGCCAGUUUGAGUCCGCUUCCGUUUAAAGAGCUUUCGGCAGCCCGGCAACUUUUGCUUACAUCUCAUUGGCCAGACUGUGUCAUUGGCUCCUGCUAUGUCUAAGGUUGGCUGAGAAAGGUAGUUCUUGUAGCUGGACAUAUAACUGCCUUCAACAAAAAUCUGAGUUCUCUUGAUAAGGAAGAAGAUAAUGGUGGAUCUUGGGUGAACAACUUGUAGUCUGUGCCCUGGAUACAAAAUACAGUAGUAAAGAAGCAUAAUGCUUGAAACAUGUCAAAACUGUAGCUCCUUCACAACUGGCAACACUCCAAGCAACACUGCUGCGCUCUGAGAGAGUGAGUAGAGUGAAGACGUGUUAGGUUUUCUCAUGAAACACUUACCAGGACUGACCUUCUCUCUCAGCCAACAUCCUUGCCCCCAUCAGGCUUUUCUAGAGGAAGAUGCUGGGAACCUGCACACUGUCUUGGAGGACAUAAUCUCUUCAUGGAGGUUUGAAAUGGGAUGAGGAAUGUCCUACCUUGCUACUUCCACAUCUGCUUCAUUUCUCUCUUCUCUGAUUUUCCUGACAAAUUUUUGGUGGAAUCUAGUUGUGUAUUUGAUCCCCAUAAAAAGAUCAUUCCUUUCACGCACCGGGGAGGGUAAUCUAUGUGAAGAAAGGCUACUUUACUCCCUUCUGUGACUCCACCACCAAUCUAGGAAUAUCCUGGAAGAAUUGCUUCUCAGAACUGCUUCCAUAUGCAGCCUACAUCCUGGCUCAGCAAAGGGAGAAGAAACACUUCCCACAUCCAGGGCUGUCCAAAAGAACUUUCUGUGAUGACAGAAAUGUUCUAUAUCUGAACUGUCUUAUAUGGUAGCCACUAGCCACAUGGGGUUAGCGAACACUUGAAAUGUGGCUACUGUGAUUGAGGAGGUAAAUUUAAAUUUUAUCUACUUUUAAAUAAUUUAAAUGUAAAUAGCCACAUGCGGCCAGUGUCUAUUGUGCUGUACAGCAUAGUACACACCUUUCUCUUUCCUGUGUUUUAGAACUUGCUGGGUGUGUGUAUGGGGAGGAGGAUGGUUAGAGUCACCAUGUAAGUCACAUGCUUGGUGUUCCAUGGUCUUCACUGUUCCACCUCGCCAUUGAACUUGUCUCCCAGAGGAAAAGGAAACAUGGUAUUUUGGAACUAAAUUCAAGAUGUUAACUUGACAUUUACACAUUGAACGUAGGUAUAAGUGGAAUGGUCUCCUGGGAAUAGAUCCUGUGAUUGAUUUUAGUAAUAAUUGGUGAUGGGAAAGGGGUAGUGCCAAUCAUUUAACAUUCCUAGUGAACAUUAUGUGUUCCUAGUCAAAGUCAGCAGAGAUUAUUUUAUUCUGUUGUGUAAUUCAUUCUUUUACUUUAUUUUUUUAAUAUUGUGGCUGUUAAAUGAUACUUCAUGUCUGUUUUUCAAAAUACUUUGUGGUUUAUACUUUUAACAGGCUGUGAAAUAAAAACAUAAUUAUAUGUAACUCA